rnacentral:lncRNA from 1 species
CUACAGAGUGGGUCUAGGUCCAGGUACAGUCUCAGAACCACACUGCAAAACUGGCUUAGUCAGGUAGCUGCUGUAUCUGCUGCUUCCACUGUGAACUCAAAAACCACAUUGCCUGUGCUGCAGGCCGGAAAGCUGCUGAACCAGGAAGCUGUGCUGAUGCUGCUGACUGCCCCUGAGGUUAGAGAUUGACUAGACAUAGUGCCACUGUCAUCCCUGCUGGAGAAGGUCCAAAGCACCUCCACCUCUGUGCUUCCAGAGGGGCAUUGUGGUGGCCACUUAAAAUGCUCAGGCUAUACCAUGCACUAGAGCAUCUACCUGGGCAAGGGAUAUGCUGUAUGACACUCUCCUGAUGCUGGGCAUGGCUGUGAGCCAAAGCACCCAGGCAGCCCUGCCAUCAGAAGGGUAAACCACGGACACCUGAUGCCUUCCUGAAGGAAGAGCACUACGCCUGCCAAACCAUCAAGCGUUGAUGCUCCAGCGCCUUCUACCCAUGGUUCUCCAGCCUCAGCAGAAGAGAGAGAAAUUGAUGACCCUGUCGUUGUAGCAUCCCCAUCACCCAGCAAUUAAUUUUAGUUCAAUGCUUCAAACGCUCUUCAGGCGCAGUGUGCGUUCAGCUGUGUCAGCUAAUGCCAAAUGGGGGAUCUCAGAAGUCUUAAUGAAGUAACUAUCCCUGAACACUGGGAUCAAUACUCAGCAUCCAGCUGUCAAAUCAACACCAAGCCGCCUCCUGGAGCAGAUUGUUAAGCUGAUGCGAGUCUGGGCUCUGCCUCACCACUUGUCUCAGAGACAGAGUCUUGCUCUGUCACCUAGGCUGGAGUGCAGUGGUGCCAUCACAGCUCACUGCAGCCUCGACCUCCCCGUGCUCAAGUGAUCCUCACACCUCAGCCUCCCGAGUAGCCGCGAUCACAAGUUAAACAAACACAGUUCUUUACAUCAGUGCUUCCGUCCCUGGCCACCUGGUCUCCUGUCCUCUCCAGACCCAAAACCAUGGGCUGGGCUGCAGCAAAAUGAGGGUGUACUCAGUGCACUGAGGCCCAUGUACCAUGAGAGAUGGUGA